CCUGGUUGAUCCUACCAGUAGCAUUUGCCUUUUUCAAAGAUUUAGCCAUGCACAUGUAAGUACACACAGCCAGUACAGUGACACUGCGAAAGGCUCAUUGAAUUAGUUAUGGUUCCUUUGAUCGCUUCAUCUAUUACUUGGCUAACUGUGGUAAUUCUACAGAGAAUACAUGCCGACAAACGUUGAACUUUUGGGGUGCAUGCAUUUAUCAGACCAAGAACAAUCAGGGCUCACCUGGUCGCUUUCGUGACUCUAGUUAAGCAUGGGCAGAUUGCACUUCCUGUGACGGCGACAAUACAUUUGGAUGUCUGCACGAUCCACUUCCAAUGGUACUUUCUGUGGCUACCAUGGUGACCACAGGUAACAGAGAAUUAGGCUUCGAUUCCAGAGAGGGAGCUUGAGAAAUGGCUACCACAUCCAAGAAAGGCAGCAGGCGCACAAAUUGCCAACUCCUGACUCAGGGAGGUAGUGAUGGAAAAUAAAAACACAGGACUCUUUGGAGGCCUGUUAUCGGAAUGAGUACACUGUAAAUCCUUUAACGAGGAUUCAUUGGAGGGCAGGUCUGGUGCCAGCAGCCAUGGUAAUUCCAGCUCCAAUAGCAGAUAUUAAAGUUGCUGCAAUUACAAAGCUCGUAAUUGGAAUUUGUGAUCGAGCUGGUGGUCGAGUGCGAGGCAAGCUAAUGCCUGUCCCAGCCCCUGCCUCUCGGCACCCCCUUGAUGCUCUUGACUGAGCAUCCUGGGGGCAGACCGGUCACCUGAAUACUUCAGCUAGGAAUGAUGGAAUAGGACUCCAGUUCUGUUUUGCUGGUUUUGCCAGGAUUAGAAGACACAGCCUGGGGUAUUCGUAUUGUGUUGGUAGAGGUGAAAUUCUUGGACCAUCGUACUUCCGACUAUUAACAAUGCCAACUAGCGAUCUGUCUGUGCAUACCCAUGACCCACCAAGCAGCUUCCGGGGAACCAAAAGGUUCCGGGGGGAGUAUGGUUGCAAAUCUUAAACUUAAUGGAAUUAACGGAAGGGCACCACCAGGAGUCGAGCCUGCUGCUUAAUUUGACUCAACACAGGAAACCUUACCCAGCCCGGACACAGAAAGGAUUGACUGAUUGAUGGCUUUUUUGCAAUUCUGUAGGUGGCGGUGCAUGACUGUUCUUAGUUGGUGGAGUGAUUUGCUUGGUUGAUUCCGAUGACAAACGAAUAUCUACCAUGAUAACUAGAUAUGCAAUCCCCAUGAAUGAGGAAUUCCCAGUAACUGAGGGUCAUAAACUCAUGUUGAUUGAGUACCUGCACUUUGUACACAUCUCCCAUCGCUACUACUGAUUGGAUGUUUUAGUAAGGUGCUCGUAUCGGCCCUGCUGGUGUCAGCAAUGGCCCUGGCAGAUCACAGAGAAGAUGAUCAAACUUGACUAUCUAGAGGAACUUAUGGGGUAAUUCAUAGAAAUCUGGGCACAAGUGUCGCACGCGGCUGGCUCCAGA
rnacentral:rRNA from 1 species